CUCUCUAUUGUACCUGCUCCUGCUAUGGGACGACAUCUACUUGUGUGAUGCGGCCCUGCGGUCUCCAAAAGACACUUAAAUGCCACAUUUUGGACCUCCAGAGAUGUGAGCAGUGUUUCACUGAACCCUGAGCUCACCGAUUUGGCAAAAGUGGCCCACCAGCAAGCUCCAAGGAUCCUCCUGUCUCACUUUUGGAGGUUGAAUUCAGCUGAGUCUUGUCCAUUCCAUGGUCACAAUCACAGUCAGUCACUGAGAGAAGUCCACGCAGGAACUCAAGCAAGGAGCCGGGAACUGAAGCAGGAUUGAAGCAGCAGCCAUGGAGACACGUUCCUCAUGAGCUCCCUCCCCAAGGCUUGCACCACUUGUUAUCUUAUACAACCCAGAACCACUGACUCAGGUGUGACACCACCCAGAGUGGGGUUGGGACCUCCCAUACCAGUCAUUAAUAAAGAAAAUGCUCC
rnacentral:lncRNA from 1 species